GACCUGAGUGAUAAGCAUUAUUCGUCAUAACUGGGUGUAAAGAAUGCGUAGGAGAUUUAAAAUAAUAACUGACUAAAUUCUAGUAAAAGAUGAGCUUUUAUUAUUUCUUAAUAUUUGAGUACAUUUAGAGAAUUAGGGUGUGUCUAAUUAGUGAUAAAAUACUAAAAAUUAGCCAUUCUUGUCAAUUGUUUAAAUAAUAAUUCUUUUAUGUUCUGACUCUGGGGCAUUAAAGUAAAGGAAAUAAACAGGAUUAGAGACCCUGGUAAUCUUUACCCUAAAUUUUGAUUUUUUAUGCUUACGCAAAAAAAUCCACCAGAUUAGUAUAGUUGCAAAAUUCAAAGUUAACAGAAUUGGCGGGGGUUAGCACGAAUGGUGGAACAUGUGGUUUAAUACCAUAAUCCACGUAGAACCUUACCAUAAUUUGAAUACAUGAUAAAGAUGUUGAACUUUUAGUUUAGUUACUUUUAGGGAUAGCUUGUCUUAAACAUGUUAAACGGUAUUGCAUGGCUGUCGUCAGCACGUGUUGUGAUGCGUAGAAUUAAAUUUUUCUAACGAGCGCAACUUUUGGGAUUUAUAUUGAUAUUAAUAUCAUAUUUUUAAUAUUGGUUACCAAAACUGAAGUCAAGUCCUCAUGGUCUGUAUAUUAUGGGCAACACACGUGUUACAAUGGUAAAAACAACAAAAUUCAAAAAAGAAAUUUUGAGGAAUUUUUUUAAAAAUUACCCUAGUUCGAAUACAUUUCUGAAACUUGAAAUGUUGAAGGAGAAAUCAUUAGUAACCGUAAAUGAUUAUGUUACGGUGAAUUAAAAAACUAACCUUGCACACACCGCCCAUCACAUUCGGAAAAUUUAUAGAUUGGUAAAAAUACAUAUAUUGUUUGUUUUUUUAGGUCAAUUAGACAAUGUAGAAUUUUUUUUAAAGUUUAGCAUGUAUGUGCACCAACCCUUUUUUAAAAGUUUUAGAAAUGAACGUAUUUCGCCAUUUUAUAGGUAAUUUGAAUUAAGUUG
rnacentral:rRNA from 1 species